rnacentral:misc_RNA from 1 species
CAGUUGUAACACAGUGAGCGAAGGAUUAGGACGCAUUCAAGAUGAACAUGUUUCAAAGAGCGUUGAUCGUCGUGCUCUCCGUGCUGGUGUUCGCGUUUUCCGUCGCGGCGCAGAUCGAAAUUGGCCGGGGACCCAACUCACUACCAGGUUUCAGGAGCAGACUUGGACACAGGGGGAGACUUGGUCUUUUGAGGCCUCACCAUGACGACCGUUUCUGGCACGACUUUGACAUCCAUGGUUUCACUAGAUACGGAUAAGAACCGGUCGUGAGAAACAAGGCUUUUGAAUCCGGACACCCAGACCUCAGAAAUUUCCUAAAAAAAAAGACCGUUUUAGAGUCUUAAAGUCAAAAGGAUUAAAUAUACCGAGGAUGGAAUGGAUUGACAAUACUGUAAUAAAAUCUCAUGUGAUGAAUUCUGUUCAGGAAUGUUUAUGUUACGAAAGACCUGAGUAUGUGAAGUGAACAAAUGGUUAUUUUGUAGUAUAUUGGUGUAUUAACAUUUCAGUUUUUUUUUUUUUUACUGUGAGAGCUCCCAUUCUUAUAAGUCUAUUAGGAGAAUUUAGUAUUCUAUACCCUACAUAUAUCAAGUUUCAGUUUACACACUUUAUUUAGAAAAAUCAAUUAGAAAAUAGAUACGGCUUUUGCCAAAAAGCUGAAAUCUGUUCUAUCUUUUGCUCAUUAAUCAAAAUUUGCUCCCGUUUCUUUAUUUUCUCCUGUUCAUAGUAUGUUCUUUUUUUCUUUUUUUCUUUUUUUUUAUGAUUAAAUAUAUUAGAGGAGAUCCUUUCAAGGAAAUGUUAAUAUUGUGAUUGCUAUAUGUGAUAUUAUCAUAUGUUUGUUAUUUAUAUUUGCGUGUGGAUUUUGCUAUGAAUGUUUGUCUGUGUGUAGAUAGUUGUAUAGUAUAUAGUCGUAAGCCAAAUAUGCAUUUAUGCGAUAGAUAGAAAAUUAGUGUAUAAGCUGCAAUAAAUUUUUUUUUCUCUCUCUCUC